GUGCCAGCAGCCGCGGUAAUACGAAGGGUGCAAGCGUUAAUCGGAAUUACUGGGCGUAAAGCGCGCGUGGGUGGUUCGUUAAGUUGGAUGUGAAAGCCCCGGGCUCAACCUGGGAACUGCAUCCAAAAUUGGCGAGCUAGAGUAUGGCAGAGGGUGGUGGAAUUUCCUGUGUAGCGGUGAAAUGCGUAGAUAUAGGAAGGAACACCAGUGGCGAAGGCGACCACCUGGGCUAAUACUGACACUGAGGUGCGAAAGCGUGGGG
rnacentral:rRNA from 1 species